rnacentral:lncRNA from 1 species
ACUUAGAUUAAAUUUAAAUAUUAAAUCAAAGGAGAUUAGAUAAUUUUGAUUUUCGAUUAACCAAUGUUAUCAAAUUAAAUACCAAAAAUCGAAUUGAUUAAAAAAUUUCGGUUCGGUUUUAAACCAAAACCAAAAUUUUGAAAAGAAAAACCGAAUCAAACACUCAAAUAAUUAACGGUUUGAUUCGAUUUUUGGUUAACCGAAUCAUUUGCACAUCCCUACCGAUGGCAACCCAAGCCAGAGAGGCCGGAUGACCCAAAGAAGAAGAAAACUAAGUCAUCCCAACCUGCUAAGCCUAGUCUACAAGCGACUCAGACGGACUCGAGCCGGGCGGACUCGAGGGUGGGAUUGGAGGGCUGGAUUAAACCUUCUAAAAUUGCACGAUGGUGAUCGCCCACCCACUCCACGCCUAAUCGAAUGACCGAAGUGGAUAGGAUGGGCGCUGAGAUUAGCAUUGCUACCUCCCUGGGCCUUAGCCCACACGCAGUUGGACCUGCAAACCACUUUGGCAUGCUAGGCCAUGACAUGGGUGAGGCCCAAUCGGGAUCCAAUGGUGGUGCGCGGGUGGGAGUCCUUGGGGCGGGCCCUUCCCAGCCCAAGAGAGCCCGGCCCUCUGAUUUUGAUGCGGAUCGGGUCUUUAUAAAACCUAGUGGGUGGAGUUCCAGCCCAGGAGGCCCAAAAAAGGGCCUAUCAUGUCAAGUAAGGCGAAAAGCACGGCUUUGGUCUUCUUAGAGGCCUGUAGGGAGUCGGUGGAGGGCACUGGAGGCUCUAGGGCCUUCAUUUUCUCAGCCAUAACCUCGGGGAAGGAGGAGAGAGCUUUGGUCCAGCCAGAGGUGAUGGUG